CCACAAUCAAACAUACAUUCCCAAUUACUGGUACAAAGAAACUACUUUGGGAUAAAUCUAACAGUGCAUGUCCAGAAACCACAUGCUGAAAGCUAUUUAGCACUGAUAAAGAAAAUCAAAGAUAUAAAUAAAUGGAGAGAUACACCAUGUUUGUGAUUUGGAAGACUAGGCAUCGUAAAGAUGUCAAUUCUCCUCAGAUUGACAGAGAGAUUUAAUGCCAUUCCUAUCAAAAUCCUGUCAGCUUUGUUUGUUUUUGUAGAGAUGAGAAAAAUAUUCUAAAAUGUAUGUAGAAAGACAAAGGAAUUAGAGCAGUUUCAAAAACAAUUUUGAAAAUAAUACUAAUGGGGGAACACAGUCUAUGGAGUUUCAGAACUUAUUAGCAGUUAUAGUAAGGAAGACUGUGUGGUAUUUGCAGGACAGACACAUAGAACAGAACAAAGAACCCAGAAAUAGUCCCCACAAAUAUGCCCAACUGCAUUUUGAAAAGGGUGCUAAAGCAAUUCCAUGGGAGAAGGCUGGGUUUUGUGCUGCCUACAGCCAUCUAAAGCUUGUGAUGAACUCAGAGAGGCCAAACUCAGAAAACAGCAGCAGCAGAGAAGGAGGAGGGUGGUGUGACCGAGGGCCUACCAGGUCGACGCAGAGGACGAGUGAGUGAGCGGCCCUGGGGAAGAUGCUUCUCUGCGCAGAGCUCCCAGAACAACCCAUUUCUACCCGUUUCUGUUUCAGAGAGGUGAGGUGAUUUGCUGAAGGCCAUACUGUUAGGCGAGUGAGUUGAGGAAAAAAUACUGCAGGUGUAGGAGAGAGCAUGAGUAAAAGUGGGGAAGUGAGAACCCGCUGUGAAGCUGCAGGUAACCAGGCUUGGCUGGAGAGCAAGAUGUGGGUGAAGGAAGGGAGCGGGAUGAGUUUAGGAAGGACUUUGGAUGCUCUGUGCUGAAAGACAGUGGGUCCCUGAGGGAUUUUGGAGUUGGAGUGACCUUGUUUAAUUUGCAUUGUCAGAGCAUUCCAGAGGAGAGGUUGGAGGAGGAGCCAGUAGAGACAGAGUGACUCCAGAGGAGGAGGAUCUUCUCUGAGGGAUCAGGACAGGCAGUGCAGAGGGUUUGAAGCAGGAUGUGAUAGGGUCUGGGUCCGUAAGGAAGGCACAGCCCACUGGGGAAGAAGAGGCCUGCACGGGAGGGAAAAUGACAUAGUACAGUGCCCAACACAGAUGCCAAGAGCAUCCAGCCUGGAACCGCCGGUCACCCAGGUAUACGGUGCCAGGUCCCAAAUGCACAGAGCAGUGUAUUCAGAUCAGAUGGGAUCAGAGCAAUAGAUUCUCCCAGUUCUGCCUUGAUGGCAGUGACUACAAGAGAGUCUGAAUACAUGA